rnacentral:rRNA from 1 species
UGGAUAACCUACCUCGAGGUGGGGGAUAACCCGGGGAAACUCGGGCUAAUACCGCAUAUGACUGCAAGGUCAAAGGGGGCCGCAAGGCUCUCGCCAUGAGAGGGGUCCGCGUACGAUUAGCUAGUUGGUGUGGGUAAUGGCCCACCAAGGCGACGACGGGUAGCUGGUCCGAGAGGAUGACCAGCCACAUUGGGACUGAGACACGGCCCAGACUCCUACGGGAGGCAG